rnacentral:lncRNA from 1 species
GACGUUAGGAUUUGUUUGUGCAACAUCCGAGAAGAGUACUUGUGGCUUGAAUGUGAACUGUACGUGCCUCCCCCUUUCCUCUGUAGUGCAUGAGUUCCUCCCAGCAUGCCCUUCGUCAUUGUUCUGUCAUCUUGUAUUUAAAGGGUUGUAUUUCUGCUGCUGAAAAUAAGCAACGAUUUUCUUUUAACUCCCCUUGUUUGCGGAGGAGACCUUAGCUGUCCCUCAUUAAAUUUAAUCUUCAAAUUGGUGGCAGGAGAAUUCAUUUAUACUCCUGUUGCAUCCUCAGGAAAAUAUUUUAAAAUUAAAACACAGAUUUGUU